AUGGCCCCUUUCCCCAAAUUAUCGACUUGAUUAUAGUGCAACUGUAAUCCUUUAUCGAGGAUUCCAAGCCAGAAGUCUGAUCCAU
rnacentral:snoRNA from 1 species